rnacentral:rRNA from 1 species
CAAUAGCGUAUAUUAAAGUUGUUGCGGUUAAAAAGCUCGUAGUUGGACUUCUGCUGAGGACGAUCGGUCCGCCCUCCGGGUGAGUAUCUGGCUCGGCCUUGGCAUCCUCCUGGAAUACGUGCUGCACUUCACUGUGUGGCACGGGCUCCAGGACUUUUACUUUGAGGAAAUUAGAGUGUUUCAAGCAGGCGUCUGCCUUGAAUACAUUAGCAUGGAAUAAUAAUAUAGGACUUCGGUUCUAUUUUGUUGGUUUCUAGAGCUGAGGUAAUGAUUAAUAGGGAUAGUUGGGGGCAUUCGUAUUUAACUGUCAGAGGUGAAAUUCUUGGAUUUGUUAAAGACGAACUACUGCGAAAGCAUUUGCCAAGGAUGUUUUCAUUGA